rnacentral:rRNA from 1 species
GUGUCAGCAGCCGCGGUAAUACGAAGGGGGCUAGCGUUGUUCGGAAUUACUGGGCGUAAAGCGCACGUAGGCGGAUGUGCCAGUCAGGGGUGAAAUCCCGAGGCUCAACCUCGGAACUGCCUCCGAUACAGCACGUCUCGAGUCCGGAAGAGGUGAGUGGAAUUCCUAGUGUAGAGGUGAAAUUCGUAGAUAUUAGGAAGAACACCAGUGGCGAAGGCGGCUCACUGGUCCGGUACUGACGCUGAGGUGCGAAAGCGUGGGGAGCAAACAGGAUUAGAUACCCUCGUAGUCC